UAAUAUAAAGUCUGGCCUGCCCAAUGAUUGUAAAAGAUUGAAUGGCUGCGGUACUCUGACCGUACUAAGGUAGCAUAAUAAUUAGUUUUUUAAUUGAAAGCUGGUAUGAAUGGUCGGACGAGGGAAUAACUGUCUCAAUUUAAUUUUAAUUAGAAUUUUAUCUUUAAGUAAAAAAGCUUAAAUGAUUUUAAAAGACGAGAAGACCCUAUAGAGUUUUAUAUUUUUAUUUAAUUAUAAGUUUUAAGAAUUAAAUAUUUAAAUUAUAUGAAAAUAUUUUGUUGGGGGGACAAAAAAAUUUAAAGAACUUUUUUUAAAUAAAAUCAUUGAUUUAUGAAUAAGUGAUCCAUU
rnacentral:rRNA from 1 species